rnacentral:rRNA from 1 species
UCUGCAACUCGACUACAUGAAGCUGGAAUCGCUAGUAAUCGCAGAUCAGAAUGCUGCGGUGAAUACGUUCCCGGGUCUUGUACACACCGCCCGUCACACCAUGGGAGUUGGGAAUACCCGAAGCCUGUGAGCUAACGUUAAGAGGCAGCAGUCGAAGGUAGAAUCAAUGAUUGGGGUGAAGUCGUAACAAGGUAAC